ensembl:lncRNA
CUCGUGGGAUGGACUGUGUUUUAUGAUGUUGUUUGUGGCUGUUUUGUUCCAGUGAACAGGCUGUGAGAAAGCUACUGAAGGAUCGUGAGCUUGGCUGCUGAAGAUCAGUUUGAGCGAGAAGCAGUGGAAACCGGUCAAAGCCGAGUUUGACCAGGUGUCUGCUGUACACUCAAACACCAAAGCCGAGCUGGACAGUCUAGAGCGCCAAACCUUUCUGGAGGAGCCGAAGAACACGACAAUUGAAAACUUAAAAGCAAAACUAAGUGACAUGCACACUGAACACAGAAACCUCUCUGCUGAUUUUGAGGAGAACAAGAAACACUAUCAGGAAUGUUUGAAUUCUGUGAAGGGGUUUGUCAAACACUAUGGCGUUCAAACAUGGGACAGCCACAGUAGUGAUGGGUAAUGUGCACAGGGAUAUAGCUUCCUGUGAACAGAGGAAGUCUCAUCACGCACAGAUUCACUCAGCACUGUUCACUCAACGCCAGGCUGUCAUGAAGGACACAGAGGGUAAUCUACAGGAAGCCCUAAAAGCCAAUCUGAGGUUAUCUCAAGAGUACAGAGAGCUGCAGAAAGCUCUGAUGAUUGCCAGUCAAGAAGCCGUUUGUGUUUUUACAUAAGAAACAGAGCAGAGGCCUUCAUCCAAGAUCACAAGCAGCUUUCUUUGUUGCAGAAGAGGAUGCACAAAGCCAUGCUAAAAUACUUCAAACACCGCAGCGUCUACAGCAAGGCAGAGCUGGCCCGCUUCCAGACCCUCUCCAACCAGAACAACCAGAAAAUGAAAGCCCUCCAGAAACCACUAGCAAAAGUUGUCCACCCAUCUAUUCAUGAGGAACCUGAAGGUUGUGGAUUGCAAAAACUAGUUCCACUGAUUUGUCCCUGUGUCUUCCUGAGGAUCAAAUGACUGCUUCUGAGCAGCUCUACUGAAGUAUAGAGAUGGGGGAAGAGUAAAACGAAAUAGAGAAAGCGUGCAAGCCUGUCAUCUUGAAACGCCGCUGCAAGAUUGGGCACUCAGUUCCGGGUUAUGCAAGUUUACACCAGGGAUAGCAUAAUUGACAAUUGCUAACAACAGAGAGCAGGGUGGAGAGUUGUGAAUGGCCAGUAAUAAUUGGAGCGAACGCCCACUGCGCCGCUCUCGGGGGACCGUAAUCCAAGAUCUUGUUUCUGAUAUAAUUGUUAGUCAGAAAAUUUCUGCAUGGCUAGGCCAGCUCAGUUCCCAAGCUGGUUGACAGUGCAAGGCAGUUUAAUAGAAAAACUGGUUGCUGAGGUUUUUUAAAACAGGCACGCACUGAACCCAUGCGCAGGAGUGUGACACACACCGUCUUUCCCAUAUCUUUGUUUUAUCUUUCUCAAUCUUAUGUCUUGAGAAAUAAAAGUGUCUCAAAUGUCAGUGUUGCUCUUUCGUAGGAUUAAGGGAAUGGGACAAAGUUUGACUAGUACAGUAAAUGCCGCAACUAAACUGUUUUACAGACAAAAAGCAUCUUUCUCCAGUGAGUAUAUGUGUAUUCUGACAAAACAAAAUGUAAGAUUAUAUAUUUUAUAUUUUUCUAUUAAAUUUUAUCAUGACAUUAUAUGCAGUGCUGUUCAAAAGUUUAGGCUACCUAAGAUUUUUUUUUUUGAAAAAAGUCUCUUAUGCUCACUAAAACUUCAUUUAUCUGAAAUAUUUUUACAAUAUAAAAUAACAUUUUAUAUUUUAAUAUACUUUGAAAUGUACUUUAUUCCUGUGAUGUAAAGCUGAAUUUUCAGCAUCA